rnacentral:piRNA from 1 species
AAAAAAUAGACUGUUGCAGUAAGG